UGAGCAUUACCAAUCAAGGACAGCUGCAGCAACGGAACGCAGUUCAUUUUGUAGCCUAACUAUGAAAGCAAACCACAGAGAAAUAGGCCUAGAUUGAGCACCGAUAUUCAACACAGGCUGAGGCCUAGCAUAGGCUACAAUAGGCCUACAGUUACCCAGAACAAAGAUUAUCCACAGUAUAGAGGUCAACCGAUUAAAUCGGAAUGGCCGAUUAAUUAGGGGCGAUUUCAAGUUUUCAUAACAAUCGGAAAUCGGUAUUUUUGGACCCCGAUUUUUUUUUACACCUUUAUUUAAUCUUAUUUAACGAGGCAAGAACAUGUUCUUAUUUUCAAUGACGGCCUCGGAACGGUGGGUCAACUGCCUCAUUCAGGGGCAGAAAGACAGACUUUCACCUUGUCAGCUCGGGGGAUUCAAUCUUGCAACUGUACAGUUAACUAGUCCAACGCAAUAACAACCUGCCUCUCUCUCGUUGCACUCCACAAGAAGACUGCCUGUUACACGAAUGCAGUAAACCAAGUAUAUACUGACUUCCUAUCAACUCGGACACAAACCCCACGGAGCACCGACCCAGCUCGGACACAAACCCCACGGAGCACCGACCCAGCUCAGACACAAACCCCACGGAGCACGACUCAGCUCGGACACAAACCCCACGGAGCACCGACCCAGCUCGGACAAACCCCACGGAGCACCGACCCAGCUCGGACACAACCCCACGGAGUAAGACGCAGGAGGCAGUAAAGUCUGUCAGUUUUUCCCUCCCAUAUGGCUAAAGUUUUAAUUUAGAGAGGGUAAGCUGAUCUUAGAUCUGUGCCUACAACUUCUACCCAGAGCUAGGAGAAGGUGCAUAGACUUAGCAUUGCAGAAGGCUGAAGGCGUAGAGCAGGUAAAGGGGCACCUCCACUCACUGGCCGCUCCACUCACUGGCCCCUCCACUCACUGUGCCCUGCCACAUCACCCCCGGCCCCCUUCCCCUCACUGUCAGACAGACAGAGCAGCAUUGACACACAGCUGAGAGGAGAGGACACACCCUGCGCGGUUCUGGAGUCAGAGCCUAAAGUACUGUAGUUGACAGUGACGGUUGUAAUGUUGUAAUCAAAGUUAUAAAUAGCAUGGCUCUAAAAGACUGGGAAACAGCUAGUUGGUGAAAACGGCCAUUCAAAUAGCCUGUGAGUUGUUCAAUUAUAGACUGUAGCAUGUCUGCCUGGGGAUACAGGCCUAUAAGGCUUUUUCACUAUGUUUCAAAGAUUUUAGACUAUAUUGUGUGUACUAUCUAGCCCAAUACUGUAGUUAUACAAUAUUGGUUUCUCUCCCUGUGCCUUGUGUGAUUGGGUUACCAUAAUGCCAUAUUUGCAUGUGUCAUGACGUUGGGCUGGGGGUAGGUUUUAUGACAAUCAUAAAUACCUCUUCCCCCCUGAUGUUACAUUGGCAAAACCCUUGGUUAACAUAGAGAUUCUGAGAACAUCAGAAGGUGGGGGGGGGAAUGAACUAUAUUCUGGUAAUCCGACCAAUUGAACAUAUGUGGUGGUACUUAAUGAAUAUGAUGUCAGUUCGGUUGUCAUCUGAGACAUUCUCAUCAAUGAUAAGGUGACAAACUCUACAGUGGAAUGUCUACACAUCAGAGUUAUCGGAUUCACAUGAAAUUGUUGUUCAAUUUAAAUGUUUGAAUAUUAAAUUAUUUGUGAUGGGAUGAAAUGUGAUUUUAGCUUCUAAAAUAUGAGAUUUGGGUUUUCAUAAGGUAGGGCUCUGCUCAAUCAGUGGCCCGCCCCUGUGAAGGGACAUGGGCUAUAAAACUUUUCAAACACGCCCCUCUCCCUUCCUAUAUAAAGCCUUGACGACAAUAUAACCUCCUGUUCCGAGGAUGUGAGGACGACGGUCCGAUGUCAGAAUGGUUCAGAUAAUAACUACAGAACGAAGCCGACAUCAGCAUGAGCUUUGGUUGCGAAUGGUAUGAACUCUGAACUCUUAUUCACUACAGAAGUGAUACCUCCUAGCCGUUAAGUUCGCAACAGCCGCUGCAAACGAGGGUUAGGAAGGAACAGACAGAGUAUCCCGUCUAUCACACAAUGACGUUACUACAACGUAUACAAUUGACCACCAGAGACAUUCUUCAAAGGACAAAGGACUCGGUUUGGCAACACGGCCUUACAUCUACCACCAACCUACCGAUGCGCAGCUCAGAGUAAAUAUUUAAUGCAUUUUCCUUUUCCAAAUGGGCGGUAAUUUAGAAUGCAUAAGAUAUUGUAUUUACGAUAGCACAGCUUCGCCCUUUGUCCCUCAGUCUUCCCGUCCUUUCACUCAAACCCAGCCCCUUUUCUUUUGUGUAACCAGCUGUCAUAUCUGUUCCGCCUGCUAGGGACAUUUUCCUUUAUGACGUAAUUUGUAAUCAAGUUGAUUAAUUAUAUGUAUGUGUAAUUCUGUGUGAUUAGUUAGGUAUUUAGUAAAUAAAUAAACCCAAUUUUGUAUUGCUGAUUCAACUUGUUAGCCAGGGUUCAUGCAGAUAACCAAGAAUUUACAUCUUUCAGAUGAGACUGAAUUAAGGUGACAAUUAAUAUUGACUGCUAUUGAUGUAAAAUAUUACUAGGUAUUUAAGAGUUUAUUCAGAAGAUAACAGCUCUAUAAAUAUUAUUUUGUGGUGCCCCGACUCUCUAACUAAUUACAUUUACAUGAUUAGCUCAAUCAGGAAUAUUAAUUACGGAGAAAUUAUUUUAUAGAAUAGCAUGUCAUAUCACUUAAUCCGGCAUAGCCAAAGAC
rnacentral:lncRNA from 1 species